rnacentral:rRNA from 1 species
GUAAGGAAUAUUGGUCAAUGGACGAAAGUCUGAACCAGCCAUGCCGCGUGGAGGAUGAAGGUCCUCUGGAUUGUAAACUUCUUUUAUAUGGGACGAAAAAAGGCUUUUCUAAGUCGUCUGACGGUACCAUAUGAAUAAGCACCGGCUAACUCCGUGCCAGCAGCCGCGGUAAUACGGAGGGUGCAAGCGUUAUCCGGAUUCACUGGGUUUAAAGGGUGCGUAGGUGGAUUGCCAAGUCCGUGGUGAAAUCUUCGAGCUUAACUCGGAAACUGCCAUGGAUACUGGUGAUCUUGAAUAUCGUGGAGGUUAGCGGAAUAUGUCAUGUAGCGGUGAAAUGCUUAGAUAUGACAUAGAACACCAAUUGCGAAGGCAGCUGGCUACGCGAAUAUUGACACUCAGGCACGAAAGCGUGGGGAUCAAACAGGAUUAGAUACCCUGGUAGUCC